UUCCUUUCCUCUCCCUCACGCACUCGAGCCGCAUCCCCUCCUCACCCGACGCCAUCUUCCCCGUGCCCUAACUACGGCGGUUUCACUGCUCCUCGCGAUUUAAGCGUGGCCGAGCAUAUCCCUCUUCUUCUUCCCUAUUUCGCCGCUCCUCACCGUGCCCUAAUUCCCGAUCUCACGUUUCCUCUUUUUCGUGAAGCCGAGCCACUCUCUAGCGCCGAGUAGCAUCACCGCCGACCACUGUCACCCUUGUGCGCCGACCACCGCCUUGUUCUUUGCUUGAAGCCGACGGCUACGGUUUGAUCUCUCCGGCAACCAUUUUUGGUUGCUGUCCUUGCUAUUUCCUAGCGCCGGCAGCCGGCGCACCAGGUGCCCUAGCACCCUCUGUGUAUCACAGCGACGCCACCUUUUGCUCUAGCAGUGAUACUUAAGAUCAGAGUUUGGAUAUUCUUCUCUGUUCUUGAUCAUCCCUUCCUUGAGGUGCAUUUAAGUCACGGUUGAGGAACAGUGAACUCUUUCUUCACAUAUCACAGGGGAGUGUUUUGCUGUCCUGCUGCUAUAUUAGAGGUUGAUGCUGUCAGGAGAGAGUUCCAGUUGCUAGUCCCCUGCAAUCCACGAGGAUGCGUUAAUCUUAUGGUUUUCUUUAUUAAACUGUAUUUAGACUUGUUACGUUUUGAUACUUGGUUCUUGUGUAU